rnacentral:rRNA from 1 species
AGAGUUUGAUCCUGGCUCAGGACGAACGCUGGCGGCGCGCCUAACACAUGCAAGUCGAACGAGCGAGAGAGAGCUUGCUUUCUCAAGCGAGUGGCGAACGGGUGAGUAACGCGUGAGGAACCUGCCUCAAAGAGGGGGACAACAGUUGGAAACGACUGCUAAUACCGCAUAAGCCCACAGCUCGGCAUCGAGCAGAGGGAAAAGGAGCAAUCCGCUUUGAGAUGGCCUCGCGUCCGAUUAGCUAGUUGGUGAGGUAAUGGCCCACCAAGGCGACGAUCGGUAGCCGGACUGAGAGGUUGAACGGCCACAUUGGGACUGAGACACGGCCCACACUCCUACGGGAGGCAGCAGUGGGGAAUAUUGCACAAUGGGGGAAACCCUGAUGCAGCGACGCCGCGUGGAGGAAGAAGGUCUUCGGAUUGUAAACUCCUGUUGUUGAGGAAGAUAAUGACGGUACUCAACAAGGAAGUGACGGCUAACUACGUGCCAGCAGCCGCGGUAAAACGUAGGUCACAAGCGUUGUCCGGAAUUACUGGGUGUAAAGGGAGCGCAGGCGGGAAGACAAGUUGGAAGUGAAAUCUAUGGGCUCAACCCAUAAACUGCUUUCAAAACUGUCUUUCUUGAGUAGUGCAGAGGUAUGCGGAAUCCCGGUGUAGCGGUGGAAUGCGUAUAUAUCGGGAGGAACACCAGUGGCGAAGGCGGCCUACUGAGCACCAACUGACGCUGAGGCUCGGAAGUGUGGGUAGCAAACAGGAUUAGAUACCCUGGUAGUCCACACCGUAAACGAUGAUUACUAGGUGUUGGAGGAUUGACCCCUUCAGUGCCGCAGUUAACACAAUAAGUAAUCCACCUGGGGAGUACGACCGCAAGGUUGAAACUCAAAGGAAUUGACGGGGGCCCGCACAAGCAGUGGAGUAUGUGGUUUAAUUCGACGCAACGCGAAGAACCUUACCAAGUCUUGACAUCCUGCGACGCACAUAGAAAUAUGUGUUUCCUUCGGGACGCAGAGACAGGUGGUGCAUGGUUGUCGUCAGCUCGUGUCGUGAGAUGUUGGGUUAAGUCCCGCAACGAGCGCAACCCUUACUGUCAGUUAGUACGCAAGAGGACUCUGGCAGGACUGCCGUUGACCAAACGGAGGAAGGUGGGGAUGACGUCAAAUCAUCAUGCCCCUUAUGACUUGGGGUACACACGUAAUACAAUGGCGUUAAACAAAGAGAAGCAAGACCGCGAGGUGGAGCCAAACUCAGAAACAACGUCCCACUUCCGACUGCAGGCUGCAACUCGCCUGCACGAAGUCGGAAUUGCUAGUAAUCGUGGAUCAGCAUGCCACGGUGAAUACGUUCNCCGGGCCCUUGUACACACCGCCCG